AGUGAACGCUGGCGGUAGGCCUAACACAUGCAAGUCGAACGGCAGCACAGUAAGAGCUUGCUCUUACGGGUGGCGAGUGGCGAACGGGUGAGGAAUACAUCGGAAUCUACUUUUUCGUGGGGGAUAACGUAGGGAAACUUACGCUAAUACCGCAUACGACCUACGGGUGAAAGCAGGGGAUCUUCGGAUCUUGCGCGAUUGAAUGAGCCGAUGUCGGAUUAGCUAGUUGGCGGGGUAAAGGCCCACCAAGGCGACGAUCCGUAGCUGGUCUGAGAGGAUGAUCAGCCACACUGGAACUGAGACACGGUCCAGACUCCUUCGGGAGGCAGCAGUGGGGAAUAUUGGACAAUGGGCGCAAGCCUGAUCCAACCAUACCGCGUGGGUGAAGAAGGCCUUCGGGUUGUAAAGCCCUUUUGUUGGGAAAGAAAAGCAGCAGGUUAAUACCCCGCUGUUCUGACGGUACCCAAAGAAUAAGCACCGGCUAACUUCGUG
rnacentral:rRNA from 1 species